UCUACAGAUCAGACACUAAUCUGUUGGUCUAUAUAUGGACAUAAAUGAGAGGGAACAGCCCAACUCGUCAGCCUGAACAUCUACAUCUACUGCGGCAGACGUCAUUUUAAUCGAUCCGGGGGAAGAUCGAUCUGUCGGCGUGCGCUCGUGGCGGCCAGCUAGAAUGCCCCGAGCAGCAUCUUGCGGUGGGAUGCACGGCGAGGCAGUUUAAGUUGUGAUUGAUGAGUGGAAGCAUAGCAAGAGUACCACGUUAACACAAGUAAACAUGAAGCACGGCCCCACGGGCUAGUCUCCCGACUUUCAUGUGCUCCAGCGUCUCCUCUACUGGCCGAGACACACCUGUACCCAUUGAUGAAGAUCAACUGUCCCCCGAGAUGACUACAAAAAUUACCCUGAAUUGGAUAUGCUUUUCUCUGUGUACCGUGAGGCAUGUGGUUCCUUGACAAUAGACACCCACUGCAUUGACAACGCUGGUUAGAUAGACACUUGUGGAAAGUACUGUCCCGGAUUACAGCUUCAGAGUUUGAUGUAAUAAUUUGGAGUUCGGAAGCACGGUCAGCUGGGAUUCCUAUUGGUCCAACGUUAACAUAGGCGGUGCUUAGUUUUCAAACGACAGGAAAGUAUUGAUGCGGAUAAUAUAGGAUGGUUGAGGGGUAUAUCGCAUUUUUUAUGUUUCCAUUUAUAACCAAUUCUGGGAUUCUUGUCAGAUAUCUAUAAAAGCAUACCUUUGAGUUCUUUCAAUGAAAAGUCUAUAAUUGUUAAACUGAUAAAUGAUAUUGCAUGUAUUUAAAUGCACCAGAUCAAUUUCAAUUUCCCAUAUUUGAAUGCCACACUGCUUCAUAACGCAUGAUGUAUGACUCUAUGUUUUUGGAUGAAAAUGUAAGGCAAACUAUUGUUAAACUUGCCAUUAAUUUCAUGAUGAACAGUCAAUAAACAGUUAAGGUAACUGAAACAAAAAUUCGCAAUUUCCAAUAACUAUCAAGAUCAAAAAGCUUUUACUAUGUGUACAUUACGCGAGAAUUACUGAUGCUUCUGAAAACAAGAAAUUAUUGAAUUUUCAAUUAGAGAUACUUAACCGUUAAUCUAGAUAAUAUUUUUUUUCUGCUUGAACAGUCCAGGAAAACACCGACGUUAGCAAACUGUUUACAUUGACACUAGCAUUUCGUCGAUUCCAAAAGGUAAAUAUUUGACAUCGCUGUACGCGUCCACGUAGCUCCUGAUCCAAAAAAGGCUUCUCAAACAAAUAUAACUUUUCCUUCACACUAAUAGAUUCUAUAUAUUCCUGUGAAUGAAUGUUAUGAAUAAUGUAAUAUAGAAUCUUCCAAUCAAUUAAUGCUGUGUUCCUGUGUGUUUGGAUAACUCCGCCGUUUCCACACAUCUCCGCUCUACCCUGAACUGUGUUGGUGACUAGCGUAUAGUACGAUUGGCCCUGAUCGAGUUGCUACCUGUCAGGUAUCCUCGUGGUAUAAGCAAUGCCUGAUAGCUUCUCCUUCGGCACAGAGGUCCAAGAUAAGAACUCUAAAAUCCUAACUUAGAAGAGAAGCAACCCUGGGCGUCUCCCCUUUCCAAAAUACCACUCUCCGUCAAAGAAGUUAAUUUUAUCAAAGAAGGGUCGUAUUACUGGACGAAGAGAAAGCAGUUGGCAUGGACUGAACGUCUGGGACUUUCCAUUGGGAAGAAUUUAUCAAGGGCUGUAGCGGUAGAAGUAACCUUACCGUCUGGCUUAAGUGUGUUUGGAAUUUCGAUCUGUACAUAGUGCAAACAUCUUAAUGACGUGAAGACUUGCACUGGUUUGUUUCGCGCCUUGCGGCAGAGUCUCUUCAAAACGACGUACGAUAUACGCAUGCACUUCAAGUGUUUAGAGCUGUGCUUUCUGUUGUUUCCUCUUCUUGCCUAUAACUGAAUAAUACCGUUCCGUGGCGGAAGCGAUAGACUCAAGGAAGAGAAACACCAGCUAACGGGUUUUUUUAAUGUAAAAACUCCCAUUGGUUGUAAAACGCAUUGGGAUAUACGUGUUUGAUUCAAGUGUGUAAAGUACUUACAAAUCGGAACCUUCACCUUUAGCUCCAUACAGAGUUUGCAUUGCUUGAGGAUAAAAAGAUUUGAGAUCGAGUAUUUGGGAAUCUGUAGCAGGGGGCGUCAAUAGAGAACACCUGGUAAACGUGGCCACGUGGGGCUAGAUUGGCUUAGAGAGGAACGGUUCUGGGAGUGGUGUGGUUCAUUGACCAGAGUUUUUUACAGGUGUGAUAGUCCUGGGAAGGACGUGUAUAGAGUUCCGUGAUCGAAUUGAAACUGCUGGUAUGUGUUAAGAGUAUGUGGUGCUAUCAACGAUUACAGUCAGUGGAUGCUUAGCGUGGAUACUGUUUUGUGUUGGCAUUAAUAAUGGGUGGCUCUUAGCGUUCCAAAAUUUGUGUACCCAGUGACAUCGCCAUCCCUCUGGCCCACUCGUCCGAGGAGCAUCGCGAGCGGCUCCAGCUCACACCUCGGGGCGCUCGUGACGCUAUGACAACAACCGAAGAUGACGGAAUUGAGAUUUUGUCAUGUCAUAUCGAAAACGAGGAUGACGUCAUCGAGCAGACGACAACUGUCAAUGUGUCAGUCACGAACGCUAAGCUGGAAGAUGAUCCGGCUACGAUUCAGAGGAAGCGUGUCGCACGUGCCGUGGCCAUAGUCUCCUUUGUCCUGCUUCUGUUCAGCGUCGUUUUGAUAGGAGUAUCUCUCAACAUGUCGAAAAAUAUCGACGACUUAGAUGCAAACAGAUCUAUAGCCCGUGGAAAGACCUGGCCACCGAGAAAGCAGGAAAACCCAGUACGGGAAUCGAACGAACUUCUUCGAAAACAGUCCACGUUUAGACAGCAUAGUUACAAUAAGCCCCCCAAGACGGACCACAAUUCCACAACGCACACUACUGAUGACAGUAUGCACAUAGAUUGAUGACGUCAUACAUAUUUGUGUUGGAUACUGUGUGAUUCCAGGGAUAAAACCCUUCAACGACUUCGGCUCCUGGCCGUUUAUUAUGCAACAAUGUAGACCAUGCAAUCAUCCACAUUGGCUGGUUGCUGUCGCUUUGUAUUAUAACGCUUACAGAACAGUCAGAAUAGUUGAUCUUCAUCGAAAUGCAAUAUUUGAAAUUUGUGCCAAACCAGUAUCUCUCAUGUGAUGGUACAUAACAAUGAAUAUGAUUGUAUGUGCAUGUUGGCAACCACUGCCUCCAACGCAGACCCACACGUGUAGAUCCUUUCCUGAUUAAAUAUAUCCAGUGUGUCACAUACAGUUAUCUUCGGUCGUAACGUUUAUUUGUUGUUUAACACCACAGUCAGCAAUAUUCCAGCUUCAUCGCGCCGACCUGUAUAUAUACGAGUCUGGACCAGACAAACUGGCGGUUGACAUUAUGAGCGACGUCCCAGAUCGUCAGGGCAUAAUGACACGCAAGUCAUCUAGCCUGAUCACCCUAUCCAACAAACCGCACUUACGGCAAGCACAUGUUGCUAGGGACAAUGAACAUUGAAUUUAACCCGGACGUAAACAUAAGCAUAAAAAACCAAGGCCAGAGAAUAACCAGUCUCGAUUAUCCGACGAAACAUUUUCCAUUGGGCGAAAUAGCGGUGGAAAGUAUAUGAAUGGAUGACUGAAAAUCAGUGAUGACUAUUGAUGUUCGCGAAAGGGUAAGGUGUCCUCCCGAAAGAACCUCAUGCACCCUUUAAGACGUCCUGUCCAAUUGUAUCUAACAUACGUGUUGAUACCCUUGUUUGGGGAUUUCCUGUAUCUUUCUGUACGUCUAUGGUAAGCAUUCACAUAAUAUAUACUGACUGGCGGAAAUAAGGGAAGGUUAAAAGUGUGUUAAGUGUGAAAGGUUAUCUGUACAAAAAAGGGGUUUUUCGUCUUUGGAAAUAACACAUCAGACAUUACUCACAUUCUGGGGGAUUCCGGGGGUUUACGGGGUAUUCCGGGUGAUUCCGGGUGAUUCCGGGUGAUUCCGGAUGAUUCCGGGUGAUUCCGGGUUAAGAUAUGCCUGUAGUAGCAUGCAACUAAAUUUCGAUUUGUACUCCGACGGCGUAGGUCUUUGCUCACAAUAUUAAUCACUGGUUUGUCUGGUCCAUACUCGUAUUUGUACAGGUCACUUGAAUCGCUGAAUGCGGUGUUAAACAAGACACAAGCCAAUAAAAGUCACUACCAUACACAUAUUCUGUCGGUGUUAAUAAUGUUACUGAAAAUAUUUGUAAAACUGAUCUGUAAUAGUUAUGUGAUCUUAUAUUUUCUUCCGUCAGUAUAUCUAAAGAUAACGGAGGUCCCCUAUGAACUCUAGCAGAGAAUUGUACCGGGAUAAAAAACCUAUGUUUUUAAUGUUAGUGUGGUAUAUACACAUUGGUGAAAAAUAACACAUACAGAAUGUUUUUUAAAAGUAGUAAAAGAAGUCUUUGACAGGAGUUGGAAGAUCGUGAAGACUUGAAUUUUUUAUGGAUAACAACUUCUGUAUUGUUUAACUGACUUUUUAAAAUAAAACAUACAACUAUUAACUCUUCAAUAUCAAUUCCAUUUGUAUAGAAUAUAUAUAGAAUACAUUCUUUCAGGGAACCGGUAUGACAGAUGAAGUAUCGAGUUGAGGGGAAUAAGUACAUAGCAACAAUAUAAGCAACAUUGGCAUCAGAAUACAUGACACUGUUUGGUAGUGUAGCCUCGUUUUCGAGAAAACAUUCUCAGAACAGAACAGUUGGUAACGAGAUAUUUAUCUUUCCUUGGCUUAGAGAUUUUUAACAUCCCAUAAACGAAUCAUAUCCUCAAUCAGAAACCUAUGAUCGUGGGUGGAAUCCCGGAUCGCCCCGAUUAUGUUUCUAGGUUUGUCAGAACCAUACCCGUGCUCGUGGGUUUACCAAAGUGGAAAACGUCUGAGAACUGAUUCUCUUCGGGCUUUCCUCCCACAUCAAACUGACACACCCUGCUAUAAUUGAAACACUGUUCAAAGCGGCGUUAAACCCAACUCACUCUCUCACUUGUUGGAGUUGUCUAACCAAUAGCGUGCAUUUAAUCGCUUUUGAGUAAUAGUAUUCCUAUUCCUUGUACUGCUUAUAUUUAACUACAUUUUCAUAUGGAAGCUAUACUUUCUUCUUCUGUAAAGUGGGGGCACGGGUAGUCCAGUCUUCUAAGGCGCCGCAAUUCGCCGUGCAGAGUUGCGUCCCUUAGGCACGCUAGAAACCUAUAAUUGUGGGUUCGAAUCCCGGUUCGC